ACGGCCACAUAACGCUGACGCACCGGUUCCUGUACGAUCACCGAAGUUAAGCAACGUCAAGCUUGGUCAGUAACUAGAUGGGUGACCGCUUAUGAAUACCAGGUGCCAUA